rnacentral:tRNA from 1 species
CAGAGAAUAGUUUAAUUUAAAAUAUUAAUUUUGGAGAUUAAAGAUAUUCAGUUUUCUCUGA